UUCGAGCGACUGGCUAGGCGUGCCAAUACUGACAAGCUGCUCAACUUCGUCAAUUACGUACGGAUGACGUGGUUGGACAGCACGGUUUGGUCGCCAGCCAGCUGGUGUGUAUUCGGACAGAGUGUGCGGACGAACAAUGAUGUCGAGGAGUGGCACCGCCGCAUUAAUUCUACAGGCAAUGGACAGCUGCCCUUCUACAUGUUGUUGGAACGUUUGAACCAGGAGGCCACCUUUGUAAAUAUUCAACUUCGUCUCGUGUCUGAGAAGAACUUACAGCAGUACAAGCAAUGUUAGGCAUCUGCAGGCAGCCCUGGCUGCAGAACCUGGGGCGGCAGCAUCAGGAGGUAUCUUGGCUGGCAGUGACCAGCCGGGUUCCGGGAAUUCUGCAACCUGUGGAGUCAGACAGCGUAUGCUCUCGGGGCUUGGGAUAACCCCGAGUAUAGCGGUGCGGAAGGCGGGCCGGCGCCGGAAUACGUGUCCCAGGUGGGGUUGGUCCAGCUGCGCCAGGCCUUUGCCUGGGGGCCAAGCCCAGCAGCGAAGUGGGAGGCUGAUCGAGGAGGAGGCUGAGGCAGAGCUGAAGCAGAGGACGGAGUCCGUCAUGGAGCUGUUGCAGCCAGAGGACAAGCUGGCACAGCAGUAGAGACAGCUGUGCUGCUUCGCGCCGGGUGCCGGUGCAACGCCAGAGAGUGCUUCACAGAGAAACCGGGUUCAUCCGCAUGAAUCCCACGUCGAACCAGCUUGCCUUCAUUUCCGCUCACAACAACGGGGUUGCUUAUGUUGAGGAGGGAACGUACAGCGACCGGGAACUGUGUGUGGCAUCCAGUAGUGUCCAGCGUGUUAGCUGGGCCACGGUGGAAGACCUGUUGCCAGAGUACCUACUGGACCUACUGGAGGACCAGGAAGACUGGCAGGUAUAGCAGCUGGACUGGGAAGAGGAGGACUGGGAUUCCGCCCCAGCCCCCACGACACCAUCGAGACCGGACUGGCAUUACUGGGAUGACUGGGAAGCUUUACCGCCGACCCUCGACAACCUGCCGGAGUUCCUCAAGUUCGAGCGGACGGAGGAGGAGAGGGACCUGGCAGGACGCUACUUCGAGGAGUUCCAGCACUUGGAGGACCGCGACUACCUGCCCGAGGUUCCCCUGCUGGAGUUCGUCCUAACAUCCGAUUUUUGGAGGACGGAGAAAUACAUCUUUUUCUUUUCUCCUUGAAAUGCAACGCUGCGUUCAAGUCGUGUCUUGUCGGGGCGGUUGAGUAUGUGCUGCCUUCGUUCCAUCGACUACAUCACGCGAGUGUCGGACUUUGUUAACCUGCCACAACCACCCAUUUCAAAAUUAUAUAGACAGGGUUAUCCCUCUUCCGCCAUCAGGGGUUAUUCUAGACGACACCUGGUGGAUGAUAAGCAGGUAUGACGAUUACGAAACGUACAUGCCUGAAGGGUUUAACCCAUUUCAGGACGAGCAGGGCUCUCUGGUAGAAAGAUAUUACCUGAGAUAUUACCGUUUCAUAUUGUCAUUCACGUCGAUUCAUGUCACAGUCCUGACAACAUGUAUCACUCAGAACUAUGUAUCACACAAUUUUCACUCAGAAAUUGUGUAUCAUUCAGAAAUUUUAUUAUUUUAACACUUUCAACGCGAAACACGAGUAUACUCGUUCAAAUCUGCAAAACGCA